AUACUUACAUGACAGGGGAGUCACCAGGAUCAAGCAGGUGGUUUUCCCAGGGCAGGGCCCAUUCCCUGCACUCCAGGUGUGCUGCUCCCUGCAAUUUUCCCAGCUGCAGGAAACUCAACUGCAUAAUUUGCAGUAGUGGGGGAAUCUUAC
rnacentral:snRNA from 1 species